rnacentral:rRNA from 1 species
UACGAAGGGGGCUAGCGUUGUUCGGAUUUACUGGGCGUAAAGCGCACGUAAGCGGGUCGUUAAGUCAGGGGUGAAAUCCCGGAGCUCAACUCCGGAACUGCCUUUGAUACUGGCGACCUUGAGGCUGGAAGAGGUUAGUGGAAUUCCCAGUGUAGAGGUGAAAUUCGUAGAUAUUGGGAAGAACACCAGUGGCGAAGGCGGCUAACUGGUCCAGAUCUGACGCUGAGGUGCGAAAGCGUGGGGAGCAAACAGG